AGCACUUUUUCUACAAUAAGUGCUGGCUGAUGUAAGUCCGACGUGCCGUAUGGCAUUGCCCCAACGUGGCUUGGGAUUAC
rfam:Methanoculleus sp. SDB scaffold-1125, whole genome shotgun sequence.